UACGGAGGGGGCGAGCGUUAUUCGGAAUUAUUGGGCGUAAAGGGCGCGUAGGCGGCUUGAUAAGUCAAAGGUGAAAUCCCUCGGCUCAACUGAGGAACUGCCUUUGAAACUGUCAGGCUUGAGGCCGGGAGGGGGUAGCGGAAUUCCCAGUGUAGCGGUGAAAUGCGUAGAUACUGGGAGGAACACCGGUGGCGAAGGCGGCUACCUGGACCGGUUCUGACGCUGAGGCGCGAAAGCGUGGGUAGCAAACAGG
rnacentral:rRNA from 1 species